CGUCUUUUUUCUUCCUCCAAACGUGCAAUGUCUUCUGGGGAUCGUCUCUGCUGACUGAUGAGCUGCAGCUCCUGAAGAAGAGCCUCCUUCUCCUUGAUGAGCUGAAGACGGUCCCUGUCCGCUUCAGCCAUUCCUGGCCAAGAUUCAUUGUCUAGCAAGGCCAGCUGCUGUUGUAUAUUUGAAACUCUUUUCUUGGCCUCUUCAUACUGCCAGUUGAGUCUUACUUUGUCUACAAGUCUUGUUU
rnacentral:lncRNA from 1 species